rnacentral:rRNA from 1 species
AGAGUUUGAUCCUGGCUCAGAAUCAACGCUGGCGGCGUGCCUCAGACAUGCAAGUCGAACGAUUAAAGCUCUCUUCGGAGAGUGUAUAGAGUGGCGCACGGGUGAGUAACACGUAAGUAAUCUACCUUCGAGUGGGGAAUAACCCGGGGAAACCCGAGCUAAUACCGCAUAAUGCAGCGGCAUCGCAAGAUGACAGUUGCUAAAGGAAUUUAUUUCGCUUGAAGAGGAGCUUGCGGCAGAUUAGCUUGUUGGUAAGGUAACGGCUUACCAAGGCUACGAUCUGUAUCCGGUCUAAGAGGACGGUCGGACACACUGACACUGAAUAACGGGUCAGACUCCUACGGGAGGCAGCAGUCGGGAAUUUUGGGCAAUGGGCGAAAGCCUGACCCAGCAACGCCGCGUGAAGGAUGAAGUAUUUCGGUAUGUAAACUUCGAAAGAAUAGGAAGAAUAAAUAAGCGGUACUAUUUAUAAGCUCCGGCUAACUACGUGCCCCUUAAUAGGGGUAUUAA